UAAUUUAAUAGAUGAUGGUGCUCAAACGGAGCAAGACUUGAUAGAACCACCUUUCAGUCAACACGCCUGUAAGGAUUCGAAGAAUCUACAAGAAAUCGAAGCUCCAAAAUUGCCACCGUUUUGGUUGUAUAUACCCGAGCCCAAUGGAUUUGUAUUUAUGUGAAUGGAUCCAACAACUCAGCAGAUCAAAAUUCGGUUACGCUUAAACAAGGAUACAUCUAUUACGGUUCUUUUUCCUAACAAUGACUAACUGCCUCUAAACGAAAAAAUUAAUUCAUUAAGUUGUAUCUAUGACUACUUGAAAUCAGUGGAAAGAUGGCCUUUAUGUGUUGGUACUCAGAUUGACAGUAUAAAGUAUUCAAAACUUUGUAAAAAUGUGAUUGUUGGUGAUGACACUUAUAAAAGGAACCAAGCUAAUCCAAGAUGUAAACCUUGUCGAAUAUUACGGAAUCGAUUGCAGAGUCGAAAUUCGACUUCAAUUAAUUUGGAAACAACAAUUGCUAAAAAAAGACGUGCUUCAAAUCUAGUUAGGCAAUGCAAACGUUUAAAAAAAAUGGCAAACCUCCCAAUUUAUACAAUUUCAAUGGCUACACAGUGCAUCACAAAUUGAUUAUCAUUAGGAAACAUUUCCUACUGGAUAAUAUUAAUAUAUGUAUUUGCGAGAGUAUGCAAAUAUAAUAUUACUUGAUAAUCUAUCAAGAAGUUUCGUAAUAUGAACAUAAGUCAAAAAUAAUGAGUAGUUAUUGACAAUAUACUCAUGUUUGUCGUAAAAUAUUAUAUUUUUCUACGGCAAUUUAAAAUGAUUUAACAAUUUUUGGACAGUUUUUAAUAAGACUCAAGAUCAAAUAAUUUUAUAUACCUCCCAAUAUUUUUGUUUCAUCAAGGGUGGUUUGUACAUAUAAAUUUGUACAUAUAUUUGUACAUAAUAUUAAAUAAUUUCUUUGAUUUCGGAAAAAUAAGAAUUGUAUAUUAAAUUAAAUAACUUCUGUCAUUCAAAUUAUAACAUA